GACGAACGCUGGCGGCGUGCUUAACACAUGCAAGUCGAACGGAAAGGCCCUGCUUUUGUGGGGUGCUCGAGUGGCGAACGGGUGAGUAACACGUGAGUAACCUGCCCUUGACUUUGGGAUAACUUCAGGAAACUGGGGCUAAUACCGGAUAGGAGCUCCUGCUGCAUGGUGGGGGUUGGAAAGUUUCGGCGGUUGGGGAUUGACACGCGGCUUAUCAGCUUGUUGGUGGGGUAGUGGCUUACCAAGGCUUUGACGGGUAGCCGGCCUGAGAGGGUGACCGGCCACAUUGGGACUGAGAUACGGCCCAGACUCCUACGGGAGGCAGCAGUGGGGAAUAUUGCACAAUGGGCGGAAGCCUGAUGCAGCAACGCCGCGUGCGGGAUGACGGCCUUCGGGUUGUAAACCGCUUUCGCCUGUGACGAAGCGUGAGUGACGGUAAUGGGUAAAGAAGCACCAGCUAACUACGUG
rnacentral:rRNA from 1 species